AUGGACAAACAGUCCGUCGCAGCUGGUUUUGUGGUGAUACUUGUGCUCUUAGGAAGCGGUAUGGGUGCAGAGAUCUGUGAGAAAACAGGCGUUAAAUUGGUCAUAUGCACCAAGUCUAACUGCCAGCGGUUCUGUCAUCUGGAGGCAGAGGCAACUCACAGAAAACUCGAGCAGCAUUGGCGAGGCCUUGGUUUUCGUCGUCGCACUCAUGUGUGUUGCCGGCCGGAUGCAGAGGUCAUUUUGUCGUCGGCCCCACCAUGCGCUCGCGACAUAGACGGCCAAGCGUUCACCACGACGAAUGACAACCAUGUUGUGCAGGACGUCCACAUGCUGACGGUUGCGGAAACGAUUGCAAGUGGAGUCGGCGGUUUCUCCCUUGAUGACGACCAAGCGCUGAAGGUCGAGGGCUCUGAUCACGCCUUUGUGAACAUUCGACACGCGCGCCGCCUCUACGCAACACCUUGGACACGCACGCGGCUGCCGCUCCGCACGUCCGCCUGUUGGGAGAAAACAGGCGGGUGCUCGGGGACAUGGGUAACGUUGUCCACACCCACGUCCUCGCCGAUAAUACAUCCAUCGUAUUCCGCCAAUCCAUCUCUGCCCUCUAACACUUCGACCUCGGCGCCGUCAACCUCACGGCCGCGAGUGACGGUGGCAGCUCCGCUCCUGGGCAACAUACAACAUCAGCGUGUCGUCGGCGGUGGCCUCAUCGUCCCCUCUGGCUUCGACAUCGCCGCGUCUGGCUCCGAGAGCUGCUGGUCCCCCGCGAUCAUCAUCACCGGCGUCCUCACCAAUGUGUGGGGGUUAACUUGGCUUCCUCCAUGGCGCUCGAGGCCUCCAGCGUCGUGGACGACUUCAAGGUCUAUGAGCAUGGCGCCGGUAUCACCAUCUUGGUCCACACCAACAAAGUCUUUGCGGGACUCCCUCCCCACCACCGACCGCCUCCAGUCCGGCCCUCCCGCCGGCCGCAAAGACAUCGUGCUGCACUCCUACUACCAGCUCGGCUCCCUCAAGUCCAUCGUGAAUCCCGUCCAGCCCACGCUUGCCAUCGAGUGCACCGAGGCCGUCCUCUUCACGCUCAACAUCACACGAUUCAUUCGCUCCGUCGCCAGCGACCCCGGCGUCGUGUGCGAUCACCCGCACAGUGUUUGA
rnacentral:rRNA from 1 species